AGAGUUUGAUCAUGGCUCAGAACGAACGCUGGCGGCAGGCCUCAAACAUGCAAGUCUAGGGGGUGUAGCAAUACAUCACCGGCGGACGGGUGCGUAACGCGUGGGAAUGUACCUAUUGGUUCGGAACAACUGAGGGAAACUUCAGCUAAUACCGGAUGAGCCCGAAAGGGGAAAGAUUUCUCGCCAAUGGAUCAGCCCGCGUCCGAUUAGCUAGUUGGUGGGGUUAUGGCCUACCAAGGCAACGAUCGGUAGCUGUUCUGAGAGGAAGAUCAGCCACACUGGGACUGAGACACGGCCCAGACUCCUACGGGAGGCAGCAGUUGGGAAUCUUGGACAAUGGGGGAAACCCUGAUCCAGCCAUGCCGCGUGAGUGAUGAAGGCCUUCGGGUUGUAAAACUCUUUCGACGGGGACGAUAAUGACGGUACCCGUAGAAGAAGCUCCGGCUAACUUCGUGCCAGCAGCCGCGGUAAUACGAAGGGGGCUAGCGUUGUUCGGAAUUACUGGGCGUAAAGCGCGCGCAGGCGGUCUUCCAAGUCAGUGGUGAAAGCCCGGAGCUCAACUCCGGAACUGCCAUUGAAACUGUGAGACUUGAGUACGAGAGAGGUGAGUGGAAUUCCCAGUGUAGAGGUGAAAUUCGUAGAUAUUGGGAAGAACACCGGUGGCGAAGGCGGCUCACUGGCUCGUAACUGACGCUCAGGCGCGACAGCGUGGGGAUCAAACAGGAUUAGAUACCCUAGUAGUCC
rnacentral:rRNA from 1 species